UGAGCCGGCUGCCGAGGCUGCCUGGGGAAGGGAGGCUGCGGGGUGUGGACUAAACCACUGCGCUCCACACCCACGCGUCCCUCUCUCUCUCCUCCCGGGGUAGGGAGAUGGGGACGGCGAUGCCAGCAGGCGGCCGCAGGGCUGGGAAGCAGGAUCGCUGCCUCCCCUCUACAGUUGGGUGUAGGCGCUCGGGAGUGAGUGAGACCCUUGAAAGGAUAUUCCCCAGGGAUUUCUCUGCUGGCCCGCUCUGUGGAAAAGGAAGAGAACGUGGCAAAUAAAAUAAAACACAAAACAAAA